rnacentral:rRNA from 1 species
AGGACGAACGCUGGCGGCGUGCUUAACACAUGCAAGUCGAGCGGAAAGGCCCUUCGGGGUACUCGAGCGGCGAACGGGUGAGUAACACGUGAGCAAUCUGCCCUUAGCUUCGGGAUAGCUCCGGGAAACCGGAAUUAAUACCGAAUAUGACUUCGGCCGACAUCGGCCUUGGUGGAAAGUUUUUCGGCUAGGGAUGAACUCGCGGCCUAUCAGCUUGUUGGUGGGGUAAUGGCCUACCAAGGCGACGACGGGUAGCCGGCCUGAGAGGGCGACCGGCCACACUGGGACUGAGACACGGCCCAGACUCCUACGGGAGGCAGCAGUGGGGAUAUUGCGCAAUGGGCGAAAGCCUGACGCAGCGACGCCGCGUGGGGGAUGAAGGCCUUCGGGUUGUAAACCCCUUUCAGCAGGGACGAAGCGAAAGUGACGGUACCUGCAGAAGAAGCGCCGGCUAACUACGUGCCAGCAGCCGC